GACGAACGCUGGCGGCGUGCUUAACACAUGCAAGUCGAACGGAAAGGCCAGUGCUUGCACUGGUGCUCGAGUGGCGAACGGGUGAGUAACACGUGGGUGAUCUGCCUUGCACUCUGGGAUAAGCUUGGGAAACUGGGUCUAAUACCGGAUAGGAACCGUCUUUAGUGUGGUGGUUGGAAAGUUUUUUCGGUGCAAGAUGAGCUCGCGGCCUAUCAGCUUGUUGGUGGGGUAAUGGCCUACCAAGGCGUCGACGGGUAGCCGGCCUGAGAGGGUGUACGGCCACAUUGGGACUGAGGUACGGCCCAGGCGCCUACGGGAGGCAGCAGGGGGGAAGAUUGCACAAUGGGCGGAAGCCUGGUGCAGCGACGCCGCGUGGGGGAUGACGGCCUUCGGGUUGUAAACUCCUUUCGACAGGGACGAAGCGUUAUGUGACGGUACCUGUAUAAGAAGCACCGGCUAACUACGUG
rnacentral:rRNA from 1 species